rnacentral:tRNA from 1 species
AGCGGAGUGGGGCAGUUCGGAGUGCCCGCAGGGCUCAUAACCCUGAGGUCGGAGGUUCAAAUCCUUCCUCCGCUA